GGUAUGGGGGCGAAUCAGGCCGCUUGGGUUGCUUGAAGAGUGGCGAGCGAGACCAGGCGCGGGUUUUGCAGAAUGAGCUUGGCAUGUUUACUGAGAAAUUAAUCCUGCUGUUCUAUGGCUCGUUUUCCCACGAGAAGCUUACUUGAAUUGAGAAGAAGCCACUGUCAUCCAUGUUUACAGAAGGCUGCUGUUCAACAAAGAAUUAAAAAGCAGCUUCAUAUAGAUGUUAAAUAGUACUGAACGCAACAUUAAGACCUGUGUGACUUCUUCUUCGAGGAACAACUGUCUCCAGACAUCACCAUCUGGAACCAACCUGAGAGCUGCUGUGCAAUAGAAGACAGUUCUACUGGGCUGAAAUACUCUCCCUGCAGAUCACCUCAUCCUGUAUGUACCUACCUGGACCUUGGGUUCAUCUUCAGGAGUCCUCCAGGAGCCCCUUCCAAAGAAAGUGAAGCAGGUGGCUAACAGGAGGACCUUUUCAGUUGUGGCACCCCAGUUGUAGAAAGAGAUGCACGUGGCAUCUACGCUGUAUUCUCAGUACUAGGUGAUCCACAAGUGGCCACUUAAAUGUGAUGGAUGUACAGAAGGUAGCAAACAGCAAAAUUAACAGGCAGCCUCUAAAAGCCACUUGAGUCAGUUCUAAAUGCAUCAUGGUGACCACUGGCACUGAAGCCUAAAUAACUGUAUGCUGAACACUUAUGAAUAUGGGAAGAAAUGGAUGAUAGUGACACACUGGAGACUGCAGCAACUACUCAGCAAAUUCUCUCUGAAUUACUCAAGAAGCAGAGACAGAUUAGAAUCCAUCACUGCUAUAGUGUGGAUUUCUCUUUUUUGGAAUGAGGUUUUAGUCCUGAUUAACCUAGUCCUAGAAGUCUCAUCAUGUUGCAAAGGUAUGUAUCUACCACUGGACUACAUGCCUUGCAUUUGAAAUCUUCUUCCAGUCAAAGAACCUAGAACAAGGUAGUUAAUAAUGUAGUAGUGUAAGUUUUCUUCUGCACAAAAGGACAUUUAUAUUCCUUAUCUAUCUGCAAAUAUGUAGUAUUCUGCUAGGACUACCAUGAACUCUCUUGAUAACUGAAGUGCUUUCAGAGAAACAUUUGUCCAAUGAGAACCACCUAUAAUUCCUCUUCCUGACACCAACAUAAGCAAUCAUUUCACCUCCUUUCUCUAUCCUUGCAUCAAGAUUUUGAGCAUUUAUUAUUAUUGCUUUUGUUAACUGUGGAAUGAAUCAAAGUUGGCAAGAAUAAAAAAAUCAAGAUGCCUUAAUUUAGUUUGUAAGCAUAAUUGAACACAAUAAGAGAUACUUCUGAAUAAAUAUUUGUCUCUGUUAGACUAAUAAAAGUUGUUAAUACAAA